CUCAACCGGAGGAGCCUGCGGUUUAUUGGACUCAUCGCCGGACAUCUCACCAGCUCCGACUAUAGUAAUGACGGUCAGGUUGAUGACCUUGCCACGACGCUAUAGAGAGGAGGUGCAUGGCCGCCGUCAGCUCGUACCGUGAGGCGUCCUGUUAAGUCAGGCAACGAGCGAGACCCGCACUUCUAAUUGCCAGCAACAGUUUCGACUGGUUGGGUACAUUAGAAGGACUGCCGCUGCUAAAGCGGAGGAAGGAACGGGCAACGGUAGGUCAGUAUGCCCCGAAUGAGCUGGGCUACACGCGGGCUACAAUGGCCGAGACAAUGGGUUGCUAUCUCGAAAGAGAACGCUAAUCUCCUAAACUCGGUCGUAGUUCGGAUUGAGGGCUGAAACUCGCCCUCAUGAAGCUGGAUUCGGUAGUAAUCGCAUUUCAGAAGAGUGCGGUGAAUACGUCCCUGCUCCUUGCACACAAAAAA
rnacentral:rRNA from 1 species